rnacentral:lncRNA from 1 species
GGUGGGACUUCAAUGCCUUUUAGGUUUACAGUCUUUUCCUCCCCACGGCUUCUCUUUCCUCCCCGUCUCAGGCACUGGGCAUUUCCAGUCGAUCCAGCAGGUCUGGCUUCUCUCACAUAUGCAGUAAGGGUUAGGGGAGAAGGUCCCAGCUCCUCUUGUCUCUAGCAGAGUGUAAACUGGCUCUGCUGAGGAGGUGGCUGUGCUUUUAUUCCUUCUCCUGAGAACUGUUUAUAUAUUAAGGAGCUUCACAGCCUCCAACAUAAGGAAAGCAGCUGCUGUUUGGAGAAUAGACUGUAGGGGUCACUGCGCAAAUUGGAGGCCGCGAUCCAGGUGAGAACCAGGUGAAACAGAGCUCGGGCCAUGGAGUGGCGCUGGAGAACCUGCUCAAGGAGCAUCUAUUAAAUGAAGGAACCCAACUUUCAUCACAUGUAAAAUAAACAUCAUUAUAAUCCUACC